rnacentral:rRNA from 1 species
CGUAGGUGGCAAGCGUUGUCCGGAUUUAUUGGGCGUAAAGCGAGCGCAGGCGGAAAGAUAAGUCUGAUGUGAAAGCCCUCGGCUCAACCGGGGAACUGCAUCGGAAACUGUCUUUCUUGAGUGCAGAAGAGGAGAGUGGAACUCCAUGUGUAGCGGUGGAAUGCGUAGAUAUAUGGAAGAACACCAGUGGCGAAAGCGGCUCUCUGGUCUGUAACUGACGCUGAGGCUCGAAAGCAUGGGUAGCGAACAGGAUU